CAUACUUUUAACCAGGCAGUGCCACUGGAACAUUCUCACACUCCUCAGCUCCUGCAUCCGUCAGCUCAGUUGUGUUGAAGAUGGGUCAACUCAAUAUUGUGGCUGUAAUGGCAGUGCUUUUCACCCUUUUCAUGGAAACUGAAGCAAGUGCCUUUGAUUACAACUAUAAAUCGCUACGAAUUGGAGGCUUAGUCGUGUCCUUCUUGUUGGUGAUGGGAGGACUCAGCGUUUUACUCUAUAACAGAUGCUCCAGAAAGGGAAAAAAAGUGGAGGACGACAACAGUGAAAUCUGAUAUCGCACCUGACAAACCGGUUCUAUCCUGGGGGAAGAAAGUCGACAGACAGGGGUGGAGAGAUCUGGUGUGUGUGUGUGUGGGGGAGAGUAAUGAGGGGGGUGGUUUGGUGGAAACACACCGGCUCAGAUGAUUCUUGUACAGACCUGUUAAAGGAAAAAAACGUUUAUUUAAAUAAAGAAAAAUACUAACUGAGGUGCUGCUGAUUUUGACAAGGGUGGGAACGCAGCCUCAUAGAAGAAUGUGAUGAUGUCAUAAGUGAAGAGCCCCCCCCCCUCAUUAUUUCUUCAUAUAUAUCUGUACUGAUGUGUAAAUCAUCUUUAUUCCUAUAGAAAAAAACCUACACGUCUCAUGUGUGCUGCUUAGUUGAGUCACAUAGUCAUAAUGCUGCAUAUAGCUUCUGAAACUGUGGGAAAUAAAAACAUAAUCUUAUGUGUAGUCAUUGUUCACUUCAUGUUUGCUGUAUGAUCAAGUGGUCCAACAUUUCCUCACUGAAAGGAAUAGAAAACAACAACUUAAAUCAAAUUAAAUGAAAAUAAAUGUCAUUGUACACUAAAUCACAA